CCUAGUUCUAGAGAGGAGGCAAGAUGUUGGCAUAGCUGUUGCAUCUGAAACCAGUUGUGCCAACCUAUUGCCAUCUUUCUUGUCUACC
ensembl:miRNA xtr-mir-31a xtr-mir-31a